CAGUAGCCGCGGUAAUACGAGGGGGGCAAGCGUUGUUCGGAAUUAUUGGGCGUAAAGGGUGCGUAGGCGGUUUGGCAAGUUUCGUGUGAAAACUUCGGGCUCAACCCGAAGCCUGCACGGAAAACUGCCGGGCUUGAGUAUGGGAGAGGUGAGUGGAAUUUCCGGUGUAGCGGUGAAAUGCGUAGAUAUCGGAAGGAACACCUGUGGCGAAAGCGGCUCACUGGACCAUAACUGACGCUGAGGCACGAAAGCUAGGGGAGCAAACAGGAUUAGAUACCCCCGUAGUCCCUGUCUCUUAUAC
rnacentral:rRNA from 1 species